rnacentral:lncRNA from 1 species
GCAGUUCUCACCUCGCCGUUGGUCGCACUCUCAGUCUCCGUAGCUCGCUCGCUCUCGGGUUCGGGUGGAAAGGUGGAGACUCUCAGGAAAUCUAUUAUGGUGUAUACCAUAGCUUCCUUUCCCAUGAGAAACUUACCAUGUAGUUGGAAAGAUGAUAUAAAAGGAAACGAUUUCAGUAAUUUUUUAAAGUACCAUCAAUAAUAGAGGAAUGCAAAUUUCAGAAAAAUCUGACCUAGUCUGAAAGGAUCAAGGAAGAUGGCAUGCAAGGGAAUUAUUGAGCUCAAUUUUGAAAGAUGAUUUGGAAUUAUUCGGAGAGGGUAAAAAGAGUUUGUGGACCGAGGGAUAUUCUAGACAGAAGAACAUCAUGAACAAAGACGUAGAGGUGUCAAACAGCAUGCCAGCAGGGAUAGUUCUGACAGCAGCUGAGAUGGUCAAGUUAAUACCCUGAAGCAAGCUCAGAAAAAGGCUUGAGAAACAUCUGCAGCUCAAGCCUGUCCACAGAGGAUGCUCCAGGAGGUGCAGCUGCAUAAUGGCCAGCUCAGAACCCAGAUCUCCUGCUGCCCGGCACAGUGCCCUUUGGUGACACCUGCUCCCCAUCUCAAGGAUCCACUCUCCAUGGUUUGCCAUCCAGCCCUGGACCCAGGAGGCCUGACCUAUGUAGAUGGCUUCAAGAGUUUCCUUUGGCUUCCGGCUUCAGGCAACUGGUCCUCUCACCAUAGCCUUUCAUUACACAUACACACUCUGUCGCAUUAAAAGGCUAGACUCUAGAAGCCAGAGACAUAAAAGCUUAACCUCUCAUAGUUAAAAAAAUAUAUAAAUGUUAUGGACUGAAUUGUGUACCCUAAAAAUUCACAUGUUGAAGCCAUAACCCAACAAUGUGGCUCUAUUUGGAGAUAUAAAUUUUAGAAGGUAAUUAAGGUUAAAUGAGAUCAUAAAGGUCGGAGCCCUAAUCUGAUAGUAUUAGUGGCCUUAUAAGAAGAAGAGAUCACACUUUGUCUCCCUUCCUGUCUCCCUGGCCCCCUCCCCCCACACCACUGCCGUCCCCACCGCGUGAGGACACAGCGAGAAGGUAGUUGUCUACAAGCCAGAAAGAGGGUUCUCAUCAGGAACUGAACCAGCCGGCACCUUGAUCUUGGACUUCCCAGCCUCCAGAACUAAAGAGAAAUAAAUAUCUGUUGUUUAAGC